UAUAUCGUUUAGUGGUCAGAAUGCCUGGUUUCCUAACUAGGAGACUCGGGUUCAAUUCCUGAUAUCGAAG